UGGCUCAGAUGGUAAAGUGUCUGCCUGCAAUGCAGAAGACCCAGGUUCGAUCCCUGG
rnacentral:tRNA from 1 species